rnacentral:rRNA from 1 species
AGUGAACGCUGGCGGCAGGCCUAAUACAUGCAAGUCGAACGGCAGCACAGCAGAGCUUGCUCUGUGGGUGGCGAGUGGCGGACGGGGUGAGGAAUACAUGGGAAUCUGCCCAGUCGUGGGGGAUAACGUAGGGAAACUUACGCUAAUACCGCAUGCGCCCUUCGGGGGAAAGCCGGGGACCUUCGGGCCUGGCGCGAUUGGAUGAGCCGAUAUCAGAUUAGCUAGUUGGUGGGGUAAAAGCCCACCAAGGCGACGAUCUGUAGCUGGUCUGAGAGGACGACCAGCCACACUGGAACUGAGACACGGUCCAGACUCCUACGGGAGGCAGCAGUGGGGAAUUUUGGACAAUGGGCGCAAGCCUGAUCCAGCAAUGCCGCGUGCAGGAUGAAGGCCUUCGGGUUGUAAACUGCUUUUGUACGGAGCGAAACGGCUCUCUUUAAUACAGGGGGGCUAAUGACGGUACCGUAAGAAUAAGCACCGGCUAACUACGUG